CUCAUUAAAUCAGUUAUCGUUUAUUUGAUAGUACCUUACUACUUGGAUAACCGUGGUAAUUCUAGAGCUAAUACAUGCUAAAAAUCCCGACUCACGGAGGGAUGUAUUUAUUAGAUUAAAAACCAAUGCCCUUCGGGGCUCUUUGGUGAUUCAUAAUAACUUCUCGAAUCGCAUGGCCUUGCGCCGGCGAUGGUUCAUUCAAAUUUCUGCCCUAUCAACUUUCGAUGGCAGGGUCUUGGCCUGCCAUGGUUACAACGGGUAACGGAGGGUUAGGGCUCGACCCCGGAGAAGGAGCCUGAGAAACGGCUACUACAUCCAAGGAAGGCAGCAGGCGCGCAAAUUACCCAAUCCCGACACGGGGAGGUAGUGACAAUAAAUACUGAUACAGGGCUCUUUUGGGUCUUGUAAUUGGAAUGAGUACAAUUUAAAUCCCUUAAC
rnacentral:rRNA from 1 species